UACGAAGGGGGCGAGCGUUGUUCGGAUUUACUGGGCGUAAAGGGCGCGCAGGCGGCCAUUCAAGUCAGGCGUGAAAGCCCCGGGCUUAACCUGGGAGGUGCGCUUGGGACUGGGUGGCUAGAGAUCGGGAGAGGAGAGUGGAAUUCCCAGUGUAGAGGUGAAAUUCGUAGAUAUUGGGAAGAACACCGGUGGCGAAGGCGGCUCUCUGGACCGAUACUGACGCUGAGGCGGCG
rnacentral:rRNA from 1 species